UAAAGAAUUUCGGUCAUCGAUGGGGAUGCGUUCCAUUAGCUUGUUGGCGGGGUAACGGCCCACCAAGGCAUCGAUGGAUAGGGGUUCUGAGAGGAAGGUCCCCCACAUUGGAACUGAGACACGGUCCAAACUCCUACGGGAGGCAGCAGUGAGGAAUAUUGGUCAAUGGGCGCUAGCCUGAACCAGCCAAGUAGCGUGAAGGAUGACUGCCCUAUGGGUUGUAAACUUCUUUUAUAUGGGAAUAAAGUGCAGUAUGUAUACUGCUUUGCAUGUACCUUAUGAAUAAGGAUCGGCUAACUCCGUGCCAGCAGCCGCGGUAAUACGGAGGAUCCGAGCGUUAUCCGGAUUUAUUGGGUUUAAAGGGAGCGUAGGCGGGUUGUUAAGUCAGUUGUGAAAGUUUGCGGCUCAACCGUAAAAUUGCAGUUGAUACUGGCAUCCUUGAGUACAGUAGAGGUAGGCGGAAUUCGUGGUGUAGCGGUGAAAUGCUUAGAUAUCACGAAGAACUCCGAUUGCGAAGGCAGCCUGCUGGACUGUAACUGACGCUGAUGCUCGAAAGUGUGGGUAUCAAACAGGAUUAGAUACCCUGGUAGUCCACACAGUAAACGAUGAAUACUCG
rnacentral:rRNA from 1 species